GGGGAUGUGACUCAAGCGGUAGCGUGCUCACCUGACAUGUGCGGGGUGCUGGGUUCAAUCCUCAGCACCACA
rnacentral:tRNA from 1 species